ensembl:lncRNA
GAAAAUCUGAAAAAGGCUGUUCGUUCCCUGACCCAACGGAGUGAGUUGACCAACAAAGCCUUUUCUUCUGCUGGUUUUGGUCCAUUACCAUUUCAUACUUCCUCACAUUAUUCCUGUAAACCAGGAGCUGAAAGCUAUUCCUGCAUACAGCUCCCACCACUCCAUUUUGUCGCGUGCCUACCUGCUGCCCUCAUUUACAUUACCUACCUCUUCCCUGUGACAACUGAGCUUAUGGAGUUUGCCUCAACCUUUUAUAGUUCUCAGACUUAUUCUUGCAAAAAAGACUUGCUGUGUCCGCACAAAGGCUUCCACACGAAUGUUCACAGCAGCUUUAUUAAAAUAGUAAAAAAACAAAAACAAAAACCUGGAAGCAACCCAAAUGAUCAUCAACGGGUGAACGGAUAAACAAAUUUUGUUACAUCCGUACAAUGCAAUACUGCUUAGCAAUCAGAAAGAACUACUGAUACACACAGCAACAUGGAUGAAUUUUUUAAAAUGUUUUGCUGAACUAAAGAAGCCAGACACAAAAGAGUACGUACUCUGAGAUUCCAUUUACAUGAAAUUCUAAUCUGUAGAGACAGAAAACAGACCAGUGGUUGGAAAGUGGGAUGGACUGUGGGGAUCGACCCCGAGGGAGACAGGGAAGUUUUUAGGGUGAUGAAAAUGUGCUCUACGUUGAUGGUACUGGUCGUCACACAACUGGGUGCAUUUGUCAAAACUCUUUAAACUACACACUUAAAACAGAUGCAUUUAAUUAUACGUAAGUUACCCAUCAGUAAAGCAGAGUCUUUUAAAGCACCUUUGUGUUUCCCUUUUUCUUCUCCUUGCUCCAUGGCCAGCUCUGCAGUCUGCGGCUGUGCUGUGCAGGUGUUCUAAGGAGAUGGCGUCUCAGACCUGCCACUUCCUGAAACAGAUCCUUCUGGGCCGGAUCUGACGGGUCUGUUUGGAAACCAGCGCUGUUUUCCAUCACCAGUGGGGCUGCUGUGGAACGCUGUGCUCAAAGUUCAUUAUCUCAGCAUUUAACCUUUUGUUUUUGUUUUUUCAAAAUACAGAAAAGCAAUUAGAAGACAUGAUGGGCAAUGACCUCUCUGCCAAAUUACCUUGUUUUAAUUUGAUGACACUUUUGAAUUGUUCAAGCUCAAAUAAUUAAUUUAAAAACUGCCAGUCUCUUGACAUGAUUUUUUUUUUUUUUUUUGAAUGUGCAUGCCAAGUAUUACAAGGAAUGCUUUUCAGGGUAAAAUCUUAAACCCUAAGACCCACAAUGACCACUGAUCUGCUUCAAAUAUUUGAAAGAUAAUGAGCCACAAGUCCGCAGGAGGAAGCGAUGGCCUGGCCGGCCUCUAGCAGCCCAGCUUCAACAAUUUCUCUAGUGACAUUUAUAAAACUCCGCUGCUUUCAUCAGAUCAUGCGAAGACUGAGUCGGGUUUCAGAUUCACUCGGGGUUGAUAAUUGAGCUCAUUCCUGGAGGGCCUGAGGAGCACUAAAGCACUGGAGUGAAGCCGUGGAAAUUAGUGGUUUGAACAUAGAGCCGUGAACUUUGGUAAAGAAAACAUGCCCAUUGGGCACUCACGGAACAAGCUUUGCAGAAACUUAAUAAGAUUAAUGAAGGCAAAAUCAAGCACGUGCCCGGCUGUGGAGUCGGCGCUCAGGAAGAGACCGCUGAAUCUGCGGGUUUGGCUUCGAGCUUCGCGGCCCGCGGUCCAGCCCACCCAGAGUCGCCUCCGCGUCUUCCCUCGACGCCCUCUUCCUCCAGGAAGCGCCCCAGGCCGCAGGGCGAGAAGCCCGGUCCGGGAUGACUCUCCGCAGCGGCCCCUCACUCCCUCACCGGCCUCGGGGUCCGUGAGCCCACCGGGCAGACACCCGCCUGAGACGCCCCCCGCCCCCCCCCCCCGCCCGAUGUCCGCGUGGGGCCCCCUCCUGCAGGUCCCGCUCGACCGCCCCUUCGCAGCGGCUCCCUCACGACCUCCGCGGUCCCGGCCCCGUCCCCAGCUCCAUCUUCCCUUUUCCCCACCGUUCCUGCCUCCUAAUGCCCUGCCG